AGCUGCUCCCCGCGCCGGCACCCGCGCGCCGCUGCUCCGCCGGCGCUGCCUCCCUCGACCCGUGGCUCCCCCUCGCAACUUGGCGGGCCUCCUCCCUUUUGUCCGGCCCGGUCCGGCCGCCGCCGCCCCCCGCGCCUGGCGCCGAGCUCCCGGGUCCCCGGGCCGGCUGUCGGUGCCGGCAGGGCGCGGAGGGGGCGGGGGCCGCGGCUCGUCCCCCAGCGGAUGAGCUGCCGCGGACGGGGCGCGGGCGGACGAUGGAACUCCACAUCCUGGAGCACCGGCUGCAAGUUGCCAGCGUCGCCAAGGAGAGUAUCCCGCUGUUCACCUACGGGCCUGAUCAAACUUGCCUUCCUGUUCUCCAAGACCAGGUGCAAGUUCUUCAGUCUGACUGAGACACCAGAGGAUUACACUAUCAUUGUCGAUGAGGAAGGAUUCCUAGAGCUGCCCUCCUCGGAGCACCUGAGUGUGGCGGAUGCCACCUGGCUGGCCCUGAACGUGGUGUCCGGCGGUGGCAGCUUCUCCAGCUCCCAGCCUAUUGGCAUGACCAAGAUCGCCAAGUCAGUCAUCGCCCCACUGGCUGACCAGAACAUAUCCGUGUUCAUGCUGUCCACGUAUCAGACAGACUUCAUCCUGGUGCUCAAGCGGGACCUGCCCUUUGUCACCCACACGUUGUCAUCAGAGUUCACCAUCCUGUGGUCAGUGGCUAGACUGUAGCAGCCGAGAACCUCGGCAUCACCAGUGGCUUCGUGAAGCCCAAGCUGGUCCAGAUGCCGGUCAUCCACCCACUGUCCAGCCCGAGCAACAGGUUCUGUGUCACCAGCCUGGACCCCGACACGCUGCCUGCUGUUGCCACACUCCUCAUGGAUGUCAUGUCCUACUUCAAUGGGUGAGGAUACAACUAGAAGCCAGCAGUCUACAGGCUGGAAGAAGGCCCUCACCAGAACCCAACCCUUGGACUUCAGCCUCCAGAACUAUUCAUUCAGCUUUUCCAGACCAGGCAUCACCGAGCGGAGAGAGGGGAAACACCCUGGCUUCUCUUUGGCACAUCAGCCCCUAGUUCUUGAGAGAGAAGGGCAGGGUGGUCUACUCACCAUGUCUGUAUCCUGCCGUUCUUCAUUUGACUCAUCCUGGAUUUCUAACUCUUCUUCCUCGUCCUCUUCCAUAAGGCUGAGUCUGAUGUAGGGGCAAAGAGACUGGCUUUUCAAACUGUUCUUUGAGGACCCCUGAGAGUUUCUCAGACACCCGGGGUGGGGGAAGUGGGGAGCAGUAAGUACAGCAUAGUAGUUUCCCGAUUGUGCUGACAGGAAGUGCUCUGUGGCUAAAACAAGUCCAAAAAGCACCCACAGAGAGGCAAUGGGUGAGACAGGAAUCCCCUCACAGUGGGCGACAGAUCUGAAGUGAAGACAGGAGAUGAUGAGAAAAGCUCACCGCAUCAGCUGGUUGCCCAGGCCAGGACCUGAAGGGUUGUGUGGAGUCUGGAAAUAUUGUGGACCCAAGAACCUUGACCUCUCGGUGCCUGCGACGGGCUGACUGCUGGGAAUGAAGCAGGAUCAAUGAUGGGAUAAAAAUCAAGGGUAAGAAGAGGAUGUAAGGCAGCUGGUGUUAAUGGGGAGAAAAGCUCAGAGAGAUGCAUUUUAAAGCUAAACAAUGGAGAAGGGUUUGAGAAGAACCCAACAAUGUGGGAGUGCUACAGCAGGGAACCAUGAAACAGAAACAGCAAGAUGGAGGCAGCCAGACACCAAACUGGGAACUCAGACACCCAGAUUCCCUCCAUGGCCUCACCCCUGGGCAAAAUCCAACUCUGAGCCAUCUUCUUCCUCCAUCUCUUUCAACCCCCACAGGGGCUGCCUGCUCUUCACAGCUGUGGAGGUGAGGGUGGGCGUGGGCGGGAUGCUGUUCAGCUGCAGACUUUCUUCCUGGGACGAGGAGACGUCCUCUCUGUUAGGCUUGGCAGGCCCUGCCAAGCAGAUGCAUACAUUAACCACAGCCCAGGGCCUGCGACAGGUGUGCUCUCUUUCCAAGACCUGCCCAGGAUUUAGUAAGGGAAAGUCAAUCAGGAAGAGAAUGGAAAACUUAUACAGCUUCAUUCUGUUGCCCUCAAAUGGGCAUAGCCCUAUGUACUAAAUACAUAGCCCUAUGUACCAAAAAGUAAGGCUUAGAGAAUUGUAGCUAGGCCUUGUCCAAGAAGAACUUGCUACACAGCCUAGAAAACAAGAUGGAAAGAUAUAUAAAUAUACAUUUCACAGAUAAACUGUAACAGGUGAACAGGUGAACACAAACAUGAGGGAGGGUUGGAGUCUCUAAGAUUGAGAGGUCUGAGUUAGCCAAUGAAGACAUCUGAGAUCCUAUCCAAGAUUUCUGUGGUCAGAAAAAGCUGUAAAUGGCAAUAGAGUUUUGGUACCAGAGGCUAGAGUGGACAAAUGAGGGCCAGGGAGGAACCGGAAAAUGGGAGACAGGAUUUUCUAAAAGCUAGAAAAAAAUGAAGUGAUUGCAAUGCCAGUAUAACUGAUAUGAUAUGAAGGGGGACUUAUCUCCUGCAGAGAUUGGAGAAGGUAGAGGAGGAGAAAGAAUCCAAAGAUUCUCACUGCCUGAGAAAACCCAGGCAAUACUAUUUUAAAGCAUCAGUCAAAUUGACAUUAACAUCUGUUAACUGUAAACAGUCACACUCCCAUUACCCCCCUUCUCCACUAAAAACAAUAAUCCCAAAGUGAGCGCUCAGCCUAUGGGUUUAAGCAGAGGGCUACAGAAAACAGGGAAGAGACAUACCCCUGGGCUUGGAUUCCCAGAGAGGAAACCUUGGGGCCCCAGAUGUGUCCUCCUGAUCUCCCUGAGCUAUUAAUGGUGUGAUGCCCGAGGGCUGGGCCCUUGAGUCUCUCCUCUUCUCCAUCUUCACUGGCUUCCCCAGCCACUCACGUUCAUGUCCUUAAAUAUCACCUAUACUCUGCCACAUCCCAAAGGGAUCUCAAGCCUUCAGCUCUCCCCUGAACUCCAUCUUAACAGCCCCCAUGGUUUGUUCAACAUCUCCACCUGUAAUCCUGUGGCCAACACCAAUGCCCCAACCUUCCCCCACAGCUAUCUUCACUCUCUGCCUUCCCCAUCUCAGAUACUGUCAACUCCAUCCUUCUGUCAGGCCAAAAUCCUUGGAGCCAUCCUCAACUGCUCUUUUUGUCUUACAUCCCACAUCCAGUUUGUCAGAAAAGCCUAUUAGAGAUACCUUGAAAAUGCACCCAGAAUCUGGCCGUUUCUCGGCACCUCCACCAUUGCCCCCGGCCUAAGAAGCUCUCUUAUCUUGCAUCUUGGGCUGGACUCCUACAACAGCCACAACCUCCCUGCUGGUCUCCCAGCUUCUAGCCUUCCCCCAUCUCCUGUCGUUUUCGACACAGCAGCCAGAAGGAUCCUUUAAAAACAGAGGUUGAUCCUGUCGUUCCUCAAAAUCCUCCAAUGGUUUUCCUACUGCACUCAGAGUAAAAGCCAGUCUCUGCCUUAGAUGCUCUGGGAUCCUGUACCCUCUUUGGUCUCAUGUCCUACAAUCUGCAUUCUGGCCAUAAUGGUCUUCUCUGCUGUUCCUUGAACAUUCCAGGAACAUUCCCCCCAUCCCCUCGUGGCCUCAGGACUGGCUGCUUCCUUUGGUAUGCUAUUCUGAUACACACUAAGCACCCUCCCUCACCUGUUAUAAAAAAUUCGCUGGGAGGCCAAUAGGCUGAAAUGGCUCCUGCACUUUGGGUUCCUAAGUCAGCAAACUGAAACUCAACUCAGAGUGAAAGUGUUGUGUGUAACCUAGGAGCAGGAAACUUCAGCUUAACCAGUCAGAAACUACCGACUAACCUCUAACAAGAGAUUUAUGGUCAGUUAACCUCUAAAUAUGAACUUUCCACUCUAACCAAUCAAAUAGUUUCUUUGUCUUGCUCCCAGAGACACCUUGUAAGUGUCCCCUCUGGUUUCCUCGGUGGUGGCGCCCUGAACUGCUGGCGGUCUGCCACUGCCUGAUUGAUAAAAUUGCUGAAUGCUCAAAUAAACCUGUUAAAAUUGUAA